UACGUAGGUGGCAAGCGUUGUCCGGAUUUAUUGGGUUUAAAGGGUGCGUAGGUGGCCUGACAAGUUAUUAGUGGUAAAUCGAGGCUCAACCUCGUGGAAACUGGUAAUACUGUCCGGCUCGAGUACAGGAGAGGUUAACGGAACUCUAUGUGGAGCGGUAAAAUGCACAGAUAUAUAGAAGAACAUCAAUAACGGCGAAGGCAGUUAACCAUUCUGUUACUGACACUGAGGCACGAAAGCGUGGGGAGCAAAACGG
rnacentral:rRNA from 1 species